rnacentral:lncRNA from 1 species
UUUUUUUUCCAUUUUUUAUUAGGUAUUUAACUCAUUUACAUUUCCAAUGCUAUACCAAAAGUCCCCCAUAUCCACCCACCCCCACUCCCCUGCCCACCCACUCCCCCUUUUUGGCCCUGGUGUUCCCCUGUACUGGGGCAUAUAAAGUUUGCAAGUCCAAUGGGCCUCUCUUUCCAGUGAUGGCCGACUAGGCCAUCUUUUGAUAUAUAUGCAGCUAGAGUCAAGAGCUCCGGGGUACUGGUUAGUUCAUAAUGUUGUUCCACCUAUAGGGUUGCAGAUCCCUUUAGCUCCUUGGCUACUUUCUCUAGCUCCUCCAUUGGGAGCCCUAUGAUCCAUCCAUUAGCUGACUGUGAGCAUCCACUUCUGUGUUUGCUAGGCCCCAGCAUAGUCUCACAAGAGACAGCUACAUCUGGGUCCUUUCGAUAAAAUCUUGCUAGUGUAUGCAAUGGUGUCAGCGUUUGGAUGCUGAUGAUGGGGUGGAUCCCUGGAUAUGGCAGUCUCUACAUGGUCCAUCCUUUCAUCUCAGCUCCAAACUUUGUCUCUGUAACUCCUUCCAUGGGUGUUUUGUUCCCAAAUCUAAGGAGGGGCAUAGUGUCCACACUUCAGUCUUCAUUCUUCUUCAGUUUCAUGUGUUUAGCAAAUUAUAUCUUAUAUCUUGGGUAUCCUAGGUUUGGGGCUAAUAUCCACUUAUCAGUGAAUACAUAUUGUGUGAGUUUCUUUGUGAAUGUGUUACCUCACUCAGGAUGAUGCCCUCCAGGUCCAUCCAUUUGGCUAGGAAUUUCAUAAAUUCAUUCUUUUUAAUAGCUGAGUAGUACUCCAUUGUGUAGAUGUACCACAUUUUCUGUAUCCAUUCCUCUGUUGAGGGGCAUCUAGGUUCUUUCCAGCUUCUGGCUAUUAUAAAUAAGGCUGCUAUGAACAUAGUGGAGCAUGUGUCCUUCUUACCUGUUGGGGCAUCUUCUGGAUAUAUGCCCAGGAGAGGUAUUGCUGGAUCCUCCAUAGUACUAUGUCCAGUUUUCUGAGGAACCGCCAGACUGAUUUCCAGAGUGGUUGUACAAGCCUGCACUCCCACCAACAAUGGAGGAGUGUUCCUCUUUCUCCACAUCCACGCCAGCAUCUGCUGUCACCUGAAUUUUUGAUCUUAGCCAUUCUGACUGGUGUGAGGUGGAAUCUCAGGGUUGUUUUGAUUUGCAUUUCCCUGAUGAUUAAGGAUGUUGAACAUUUUUUCAAGUGCUUCUCUGCCAUUCGGUAUUCCUCUGGUGAGAAUUCUUUGUUCAGUUCUGAGCCCCAUUUUUUAAUGGGGUUAUUUGAUUUUCUGAAGUCCACCUUCUUGAGUUCUUUAUAUAUGUUGGAUAUUAGUCCCCUAUCUGAUUUAGGAUAGGUAAAGAUCCUUUCCCAAUCUGUUGGUGGUCUUUUUGUCUUAUUGACGGUGUCUUUUGCCUUGCAGAAACUUUGGAGUUUCAUUAGGUCCCAUUUGUCAAUUCUCGAUCUUACAGCACAAGCCAUUGCUGUUCUGUUCAGGAAUUUUUCCCCUGUGCCCAUAUCUUCAAGGCUUUUCACCACUUUCUCCUCUAUAAGUUUCAGUGUCUCUGGUUUUAUGUGAAGUUCCUUGAUCCACUUAGAUUUGACCUUAGUACAAGGAGAUAAAUAUGGAUCGAUUCGCAUUCUUCUACAAGAUAACAACCAGUUGUGCCAGCACCAAUUGUUGAAAAUGCUGUCUUUCUUCCACUGGAUGGUUUUAGCUCCCUUGUCGAAGAUCAAGUGACCAUAGGUGUGUGGGUUCAUUUCUGGGUCUUCAAUUCUAUUCCAUUGGUCUACUUGUCUGUCUCUAUACCAGUACCAUGCAGUUUUUAUCACAAUUGCUCUGUAGUAAAGCUUUAGGUCUGGCAUGGUGAUUCCGCCAGAAGUUCUUUUAUCCUUGAGAAGACUUUUUGCUAUCCUAGGUUUUUUGUUAUUCCAGACAAAUUUGCAAAUUGCUCCUUCCAAUUCGUUGAAGAAUUGAGUUGGAAUUUUGAUGGGGAUUGCAUUGAAUCUGUAGAUUGCUUUUGGCAAGAUAGCCAUUUUUACAAUGUUGAUCCUGCCAAUCCAUGAGCAUGGGAGAUCUUUCCAUCUUCUGAGAUCUUCCUUAAUUUCUUUCUUCAGAGAUUUGAAGUUUUUAUCAUACAGAUCUUUCACUUCCUUAGUUAGAGUCACGCCAAGAUAUUUUAUAUUAUUUGUGACUAUUGAGAAGGGUGUUGUUUCCCUAAUUUCUUUCUCAGCCUGUUUAUUCUUUGUAUAGAGAAAGGCCAUU